GGGACACGUGGUAUCCUGUCUGAAUAUGGGGGGACCAUCCUCCAAGGCUAAAUACUCCUGACUGACCGAUAGUGAACCAGUACCGUGAGGGAAAGGCGAAAAGAACCCCGGCGAGGGGAGUGAAAAAGAACCUGAAACCGUGUACGUACAAGCAGUGGGAGCACGCUUAGGCGUGUGACUGCGUACCUUUUGUAUAAUGGGUCAGCGACUUAUAUUCUGUAGCAAGGUUAACCGAAUAGGGGAGCCGAAGGGAAACCGAGUCUUAACUGGGCGUUAAGUUGCAGGGUAUAGACCCGAAACCCGGUGAUCUAGCCAUGGGCAGGUUGAAGGUUGGGUAACACUAACUGGAGGACCGAACCGACUAAUGUUGAAAAAUUAGCGGAUGACUUGUGGCUGGGGGUGAAAGGCCAAUCAAACCGGGAGAUAGCUGGUUCUCCCCGAAAGCUAUUUAGGUAGCGCCUCGUGAAUUCAUCUCCGGGGGUAGAGCACUGUUUCGGCAAGGGGGUCAUCCCGACUUACCAACCCGAUGCAAACUGCGAAUACCGGAGAAUGUUAUCACGGGAGACACACGGCGGGUGCUAACGUCCGUCGUGAAGAGGGAAACAACCCAGACCGCCAGCUAAGGUCCCAAAGUCAUGGUUAAGUGGGAAACGAUGUGGGAAGGCCCAGACAGCCAGGAUGUUGGCUUAGAAGCAGCCAUCAUUUAAAGAAAGCGUAAUAGCUCACUGGUCGAGUCGGCCUGCGCGGAAGAUGUAACGGGGCUAAACCAUGCACCGAAGCUGCGGCAGCGACGCUUAUGCGUUGUUGGGUAGGGGAGCGUUCUGUAAGCCUG
rnacentral:rRNA from 2 species